rnacentral:lncRNA from 1 species
CCAUAUUAUCAGCUAAUUAGCAUUUCAUUUUUGUGGUGUAAAUACAGGUAAAUAUAUUGAUAAAAGUCACCUUGUCCUAGAGAGAUUUAUUAUCAAAACGUCACAUCAGGGUAAGCCUACACAAAACACAGCCCUUAUUUUAAGUGUUUCAAAAAUCCCCUAUGGGAAAAAUUGUGAAGAAACGAUUGGACAGCAAGGUUUUAAUGGGUAGUAUGACUCGUACUCUAUAGUCACAUCAGAUUCUGACUGAUUUUCUGAUCCACGCCCCUACCUUUUUUUUAAAGGUUUCUGUGACCAACAGAUGCAUAUCUGUAUUCACAGUCAUGUGAAAUCCAUAGAUUAGGGCCUAAUGAAUUUAUUUUAACUUGACUGAUUUCCUUAUAUGAAAAAUGUAAUCUUUGAAAUUGUUGCAUUUAUAUUUUUGUUCAGUGUAGUUUAACUUUCUUUGGCUUUUACAAACCAACAGUCUAGCUUGCUAGAUAGCUAGCGAGUUAACUUAGGUGGUGAAGCAAGGCGUUGUUAUGUUUGUAUCUGUGGGUGAGGGGUAGGUAGCCUAUUUCAAGUACUACUUGACUUGUAGCUACUUUAGCUAGUUGUAUUAGUUUGGUCUGGCUUUUUGAGAGGUUUCAGCGAUCAACUGAUUAGCAUCCUCUUGAGUCAUGAGUUUGCUUACUGUACUAUGGGAAGACAUUGAUCUGUUUUCUGUUACCCUCUGGACAGCAGAUCAUUAGUAUAGCUAGUAGGCAAGGUUAUGUAACCUUAUUUAGUCCUACCUCCUAUGGUGGGUUUUAAAUUAAAUGGUAUUCACGUUUGUUUUUUUUUAGGUACAAUUACUGUUACGUUAUUGAUGCCAAAUUGCAAACCUUAUUUGCACCUUCUGUAUUCAAGAACCAAUGGGUGUGCCUGUCUUAUCACCUCUUAACUAGGUAAACUGUUUCAACCUGGAACACUAUUCUUCUGCUUUGGUCUGUUUCAGUCUGAAGGGUUUUGUCCCAGCCCAUCUCUAACACCUGACUUAAAUAAUCAACAUAAUUAAUCACUGAGAUAGGCUGAUUUGUAAUAAUGUAUGAGAUGGGCUGGAACAAAAGCUUCAGAUCUUCUCCAUGUGUAGGCUAUUGCACUGGACUGUGUGGUGCAGUCUUUCAUAUGUGUAGUAGUUUGUUGCAUCAUAUUUCUGAGUUUUCCAUUUGUGUCAACUUUAAACUCAAUCUAAGCCACAGACUAACUUCCUCCAUUUUUGUACUUGAUCUUUAUAGACACAGACCCAAAGACAUUCAAACAGCAAGCAUCCCAAGUCUCUAAUGGUCCCAAUACUGGUUGAUGUGCAGGCCUAAGUGAGCACACACUAAAAUGGACCUACAGCUGUUGGUUGGGGACACACGAUGAGCAUGAUUUGAAUGCUGCAACUGAGACUGAAUGACGUUGAGGGACACGCGCUGAGACCCCGAGUGUGACUGGACAUGGGCCGGGUAUUUGUGACAACGACCUACAAGGGGUGAAAAAGCACAGCAACAACCACUUAUGUUUAUUCCAUCCCUCUAGCUACCCCUUAUUCCACACUGUGCCUUUUAUUCUCCAUGUUCCCUUAACUUCGGACACUUUGGAACUCUCCAUCUUCUCUCAAUAAACCCACCCUGCCUAUACUGGUUCCUUCACUUGUUCUUCCUAUCUAGACUCAGUAACACAUUUAAGUGUUGUGGUGUACUGUUUUUGCGAGCUUUUUUUCCCCCCACCUGUGUAAUGCUGUCCUGCUUAUUCUGGGAUUCAGACUGAAUGCAGUGGUAAAUGUGCUUCUCACAAUUGACAGCAGCAACAUGGACCUGUUAAAUUGACAAGAUGAGUGUUGCCAUAACUACUUUAGGCAUGGCUUCCAUGUUUUGAGUAUGUUAGAUGAUUUUCUCAUUCUGCUGGAGUUGAUCUAGUAUUUUAACUUACCCACCAAAAAUCACAAUAUGCUGUUUUACAUUGUUAUUUGUGCUGGUCUAAUUCCUAAAAAUGAAAAGCAGAAGAAUCUGUCAGCUCUGACAUAGUAGUAAUAAUAGAUCAUAUGGUGCUUUGAUGCCACAUGUUUGACAUUGAUUAAUUUUAUUUAUUUCAAGUCAGCUGUUUAUUGUAUUAUGUAUAUUGUUUAAGAAGUCUAAAAUAGCAAACAAUGUAAUUGUUGGAGUUCAGGAGUUUGACUUGAUUGACGCGUGACUAGGUGCAUUCUUGUCAAAUAAAUAUGCUUAUUUAUACAUGAAUAUAGAUCUGCAAUGAGUUACUCUGGCUUUGAAUCUGCAACAGAACACGUCAACAAAUUAGUUCUGAAUUAAUAAAGCAGUGCAUUCCCGACUCCAGGAAUUGAAAUAGUUUGUCGGUCAUAUAGUUGGCAUUAAUGAUAAGGGAUUAAAUGUAGAGGAUCUGGUAAAAUAAAGGUAUGUUGCUAAUAUCAUCUAGGUAGCUAACGUUAGCUUGCUAACUUCUAUGCAAAAACGAACCUAGUAUUCGUUGCAAAUUGUAAAUCUGACUGCUACUAGGACAGUAUUUUGUACAAGACACAACCAAUUGCAUAAAAAAAGCUAAGAAAUAUUAGUUUAAAAUAUGGAACAGUACAUUAAAAU